rnacentral:lncRNA from 1 species
UAAGCUACUCCCAGUUGCUCGAAAAAUGGCGUCGAUCGUGUGUGCCUCUCCUCCGGUCCCGCCGAGGACGGAUCAUCUCAUAGCAAGCUCUGAUUGGAGAAAGCUUUUCUUGUCACGCACACUUUGGCAGUGCGCGGCGAAGUGGCGACUGGCGAGGCGACCCACGAGCUAGCCGACGAACCCAGCAGCGAGGGAGGGCCCGACGGACCGGCACAAGUUUGAGGGUGAUUGCACAACAGGUACGUGAGCUUUGGACGUCCGAUGCGCCAACGCGAAUCCACUGCUUGUUGGCUUGUUUAUUAGUUGGACAGCGUAGGAGUCGCCGAUGCAAGUGACUCGCCUACCUGGUCGUUAGCGUUACCAAUGCAAUGCAUGGGGACAUCCUUUUCGCCUAGCAGCCCGGCGUCGAUGAAAUUCCUGUGACAAAACUAAAAACGGGUAGCAAAUGCUGCAAGUGCAUCAUUCAUUGGGUUGGCGUUUAAAACGGAACAAACUGCCUCGUCGCAACCAAGGAUCAAUACACGUAUUUCUUUUUCAAAACCCGAAUGACCAAUGUAUAAUUAAUUAAGAUUCCCCCAAAGGGAACAUCCUUUUCUCUUUAUUGUUGACAAAGGAAAAAAUAAUCCGGCAUGAUUCAGAAGCUUAGGAUUUAAUUAGCGAUAUUUUUAUCGAGGGGUCUUUGUUAACCUGCUUGCAGGAGUCAGGGGAGUGAGGCCUCUCGUGGAACACGCGGGCUUGCUUAUUUUUUUCUCUGGAGAAGAAGGCUGGAUGCUGAGGCUGACAGUGACCGGGUAGCAGGUGGUAGUUUUUAGUUUAGGCUGCCAGGUGAACGCUGACUCGAUCGUAUCUGAGAUUCUGAGGGCGUUGGCCCUUCAAUUAACCGUCAGCGCCAUGUGUUCCAAGAAACGAAUCAUGUGCGAGUGCAAGGCAUUGUGGCAGUGUUGCACGAAGCGCGGAGACUUUAGAGAUAGCACACGCGGAUCACAUACUGACAUACGCACACAAAAAAAAUAGGGUACAAAGGAGUCACGGAUUGCUGUUCGCUCAAACUCGCCAGGGUAACUGAUUUUCACUGGAAAGUCAAGUUUGCAGCCAUGCCUAAUGCGGUAAUGCCUUGCACUUCUUGGCGUACACAGGCUACCAAGAAUGGACGCCACGAGCUUAAUUGUUUCAUACACGGCUGCAGGCGGUGGGGUGGGCUUGGGGCUCCUAUACGUCUACCGAAAGAUGGUUAAACGAUUGAACUAUAAAAUCCAGCAAGAUUCAGCUUCGCGGUUCCAUUGCGUUCCAAGACAUAUAGCAGCGCCGUGUCCCUUUGAUUUAAAUUCAGUGCGCUAUUACAUUUGAGCGCGCCUUUGACUUUUUUUAUUGCAUUUUUUUCCCACAUGGCACCAUUUCUUAUCUGACUGUUGCAAUUUUUUUCUAACUUUUUUGCUAGGCACGUGGUUUAAAGUGGGAUACUAACAGGUGGGCACUUGCAAAUUAAAGUUUGAAAUUUAAUAUACUAAUAUAUAAUUUUUACAUGUGAUCGACAAGAUAUACUAAAAAAACACAAGUGAGAAGGAAUUUAUUGUUACAAAAAUUUGAGAAAAAAACACAAAUCAGUAAAAAUUAACAAAGUAAACUCCAGGUCUAUUUGAUCCUUAACUAAACAACAUCAACCAUAAAUGAAUCAUCUUCUCAUGAAGAACUGGAGCACCUGUUAAUAAUAAAUAUAGAAUUGUAGUAAGUUAUAGAAAUGUUGGGAUGUGGAAAAGGAACUGUUAGAAAUAUUGAAUAUCAUAAUAAUUUUGAUAAGAUAAUUGUUGAAUGAUAAGACCUGAUGGUGAAAAAAUGUUGAAAAAUAGGUUGAAUGCAGAACGGUUGAACUUAUUUCUGUAAAAUUAUUGGAUCCUCAUAUGUAGUGGUAACUAAAAAAUGUUGGAAGCUAGAAAUGUUGGAAACAUUCAUCAUAAUCGGUGAACAUGUAGUAAGUUUUUUGGAAACAUUCAUCAUAAUCGGUGAACAUGUAGUAAGUUUUAGAAAAUGUUGGGAUGUAGAAAAGAAACUGUCAGAAAUGUUGAAUAUCAUAAUGACUUUGACAAGAUAAUUGUUGAACAGUAAAUGUUAAAUUUCUAAAACUGAUGAACCUAAUGAUGAAAAAUUGUUGAACAAUAUAAGGUUGAAUUCAGAACAGUUGAACCUAUUUCUGUGAAAUUGUUGGACCUUCGUAUGUAGUGGUAACUUUUUGGAAACUAGAAAUGUUGGAAACAUUCAUCAUAAAAGGUGAACAUGCAAUUAAAAAUAGUUUAGAAAAAAAUGUUGGGUCAUUUCUGGAAAUGUUAGAAAACCUAAAUAAAUUUAGGGAUUCAUCGUAACUUUAAGAAAGAGUUGAAGACUAUCAAAAAAUGUUGAGAAAUAUUAAAUAGAUAUUGAGCUCCAUCAGUAAAGAUGUUGUCAAACCAUAAGAAAUGUUGAAACUAAAAUAUAAAAUGUUGUGUCGCAAUACUAAAAAUGUAAAAUGUUGAGGUUCACUAAUAAAGAUGUUGGACAAAAAUGUUGAAAUCGAAUAUGUAAUGUUGGGUUCAAGGAGUAUAAAUGUUAAAACAAACCACUGGUGAUGUUGAAUCUUAAAUAUAAAAUGUUGCGUUGAAACACUAUAAAUGUUGAACCAUGUCAUUGAAAAUAAUGAGACUGUAAACAUAAAAAAUAUUUAAUUAUAUUCGUACAUAUGUUGAGCUUAUUCAUUAGUAAAAAUGAAUAUAAAAUGUUAGUCAACUAGAGAUGUUAAAACUGAAAAUAUAGAGAAAUAUAUGUUGGUUCAACAAGUUAAGAUCAAUAAAUGUUGGUGAGAAAAAUAGUUUAGACAAAAAUAUUGGGUCAUUUAUGGAAAUAGGAAACCUAAAUAUAUUUAGGAAUUCAUUAUAACUUUAAGAAAGAGUUGAAGACUGUCAAAAAUAUUGAGAAAUAUUGAAUAGAUGUUGAGCUCCAUUAGUAAAGAUGUUGAGCCAAACCAUCGGAAAUGUUGAAAGUAAAAUAUAAAAUAUUGUGUUGUAAUACUAAAAUGUUAAACCCACUAAAAAUGAUGUAAUUGAAAAUGUAAAAUGUUGAGGUUCACUAAUAAAGAUGUUGGACAAAAAUGUUAAAAUCAAAUAUAUAAUGUUGGGUUCAAGGAGUAUAAAUGUUGAAACAAACCACUGGUAAUGUUGAAUCUUAAAUAUAAAAUGUUGUGUUAAAAUACUAUAAAUAUUGAACCAUUUCAUUGAAACUAAUGAGACUGAGACUGUAAACAUAAAAAAUGUUGAAUUAUAUUCAUACAUAUAUUGAGCUUAUUCAUUGGAAAUGUUAAAACUGGAUAUAAAAUGUUAGUCAACUAGAGAUGUUGAAACUAAAAAUAUAGAGAAAUAUAUGUUGGUUAAACAAGUUAAGAUCAAUAAAAUGUUGGUGAGAAAAGUAGUUUAAAAAAUAUUGGGAUAUUUAUGAAAAUGUAGGAAACCUAAAUAAAUUUAGGGAUUCAUCAUAACUUUAAGAAAAGAGUUGAAGGCUGUUAAAAAAUGUUAAGAAAUAUUGAUUUGACAUAAUAUACUAGUGAGUGUGUUAGGCCUACUCAGAACUUUUGACAAUAACAUAUAGAUAAAAACAUAAAAGUUUAAGGAAUAAAAAGUUCACAGCAACAGUCAUGCCUUAUACAUAGUUAAGCAAUGAAUAAGUUACUCAAAACUUUUGACAAAAAAAUUCAACGUAGUGGCAUGGGCAAGACUACAUAAAAUAGCAACAACCAUUCUACAAAAGUAAAUUAAGGAAUUAUCAACUACUUGUUUACUAAGUGAAAAUAAAGUCAUAUCAACUACUUGUUUAGAAAUGAUAUGGAGUGAACAUGUCCAACUUUGAUAAAAUACACAGAAUAAAUUUAGUAUUAAACAUACAUAUAUAAGGUGAAGAUCCAAAAUUAAAGGAGGCAAGUACACUAAUUGCCACUAGUAAUUGAGGGAGAUACACUAAAUAUCACUGCCAAUACAUCAAGAUGUCAAAAUAUCACCAAUAAUUCAACAAAAUACACUAAUUUCCCUACCAGUCGACCAAAUUAGUUAACAAUUCAACAUUACUAAAAAUUAACUAACAAAUCAACACUAUUGGUUGAUUGAUGUCGUGGGAGAAGCUCAUCCCCUUGAUUCUAUCCUGAUUUUAGAUUGGUUGAUUGAUGCGUUGGAGACGACAACGAGCAAGGUUAAGGUUAGGAUCAGGGCGCAGACCUGGUGCUGAGAGUGAGAUCUGCCAGUGGCAAAAGUACCGCGCCUAGCUACUGCAAAUGCCGCGGCCUGUAGUCCUCGACGACCAAUGCAUCUAUUAGCAGCUACUGCAACUCUGCAAUCCAUUGCAAAAUUUCAAGAAAAAGACAGAGAUUCCCAUGAAAAAAGAAAGGCACGACAAUACAUCUAUUAGCAGUACUGCAACUCUACUACGCCUCUGUUCAUCAACUCAUUUCAAAAUUGAACUGGGGAAUUGAAGAGGUGUGGCUUGCAAAAUAUAUGGGAGUUCAAUGCAUCAUGUAUUGUGAAUAAACUAGUAACACCAAUGCAUUGUGCAUAAACUACUCUAAAGUUUGAACGCAGGACGACCAUCUCACUGACAUUAUGAGCUACUCCAAAAGUGAACACUAACACACUGAAUGCAACACACAAGUCACUAAACACAAAGAUGUAAAGUAGCAAAAAUAUCACACUUAGCAUCAACAACGAUUAGCUUGUUAAGUUAUCGAGUGUUAUACUCAACAGUGCAGUCGAUUCCAAGGCAGUCCAUGCCUUUGGAUUGAGCGAGUCAUGGAUUCAGUUCAAGCAAUCAAUUAGUUAGCAUUUCUAUCGGUUCUAGCAAUAUCACAUCAAUCCGAAUUUCUACAUGCCCCGGAUAGUAGCAGUUCAUUGAAACAAGCCAAUUUCUUGGCAUAAUUGCAGUGAUGUGAGCAAGCACUAGUUAGUUUUGCUGUUGCUGUUGCAGGUUGCUGGCAAGUAAUCGUGCUAAGAUUUUUUGCAAGUAACAUGCCUCUCGUUGUUUCACCUCCUCCUCCCUCCCCAAUCUUUUCUCCUCUCCCUCGCACCCAACGCCUGCGCUCGUCCUUGAUCCCUACCUGCGGCCAGAAUUACGCACGCCGGCUAGAUGAGCUCCACGGCCGCCGCCGCGGGGGACGUCCUCCCGGCGCUACCGCCGAUCAGGACCGCGGCGUCGCAGGCGUCGGCGUCAGCACCGAAGCCUGCCUGCUCCUUGGCAGCCUCGUCAUCUACAGCGUCGGUGCCGGACGCGGAGUCGGUGGUCUUGCCCGCACCGGGGAAGGGGAAGGCAGAGAAGGAGGCGGAGGCGGGAG